CGCUGGCAGUGUUGGUGACACU
rnacentral:miRNA from 1 species